UAAAUACUCCCUUCGUCUCAAAAUUCUUGUCUUAGAUUUGUCUAAUUAUGAAUGUAUCUAGUCAUGUUUUAGUAAUUAGAUACAUUUAUUUUUAGAUAAACCUCUAGUCAUGUUUUAGUAUUUAGAUACAUUCAUUUUUAGAUAAACCUAAGACAAGAAUUUUGAGACGAAUGAAGUAAAUC
rfam:Hordeum vulgare subsp. vulgare, WGS project CAJW01000000 data, contig: morex_contig_274841